rnacentral:rRNA from 1 species
GAUGAACGCUGGCGGCGUGCCUAAUACAUGCAAGUCGAGCGAAUGGAUUAAGAGCUUGCUCUUAUGAAGUUAGCGGCGGACGGGUGAGUAACACGUAGGUAACCUGCCCAUAAGACUGGGAUAACUCCGGGAAACCGGGGCUAAUACCGGAUAACAUUUUGAACCGCAUGGUUCGAAAUUGAAAGGCGGCUUCGGCUGUCACUUAUGGAUGGACCCGCGUCGCAUUAGCUAGUUGGUGAGGUAACGGCUCACCAAGGCAACGAUGCGUAGCCGACCUGAGAGGGUGAUCGGCCACACUGGGACCGAGACACGGCCCAGACUCCUACGGGAGGCAGCAGUAGGGAAUCUUCCGCAAUGGACGAAAGUCUGACGGAGCAACGCCGCGUGAGUGAUGAAGGCUUUCGGGUCGUAAAACUCUGUUGUUAGGGAAGAACAAGUGCUAGUUGAAUAAGCUGGCACCUUGACGGUACCUAACCAGAAAGCCACGGCUAACUACGUGCCAGCAGCCGCGGUAA